GUCUUGUUGAUUAUAAUUUCAAGUCUGACCUGCCCAGUGAGGAGUUAAACGGCCGCGGUAUUUUGACCGUGCAAAGGUAGCAUAAUCAUUAGUUUUUUAAUUGGAAGCUUGUAUGAAAGGUUUGAUGAAAAAAAGACUGUCUCUGUAAAAAUUUAUUAGAAUUUUAUUUUUAAGUUAAAAAGCUUAAAUUUAAAUGGAAGACGAGAAGACCCUAUAGAGUUUUAUAUUUGGUAAAUAGCUAAGCUUGAGGGUUAAGAAGUUUAUUUAUUUAAGAAAGUAUUUUGUUGGGGUGAUAGAAAAAUUUAUUAAACUUUUUUUUUAUUAAACAUUUAUUUAUGGAUAAGUGAUCCUAGUUUGUAGAUUAUAAGAUUAAAUUACCUUAGGGAUAACAGCGUAAUUUUUUUUAGAGUUCUUAUCGAAAAAAAAGAUUGCGACCUCGAUGUUGGAUUAAAGUUAAUUUUCGGUGUAGAAGCUGGAAAAUUAGGUCUGUUCGACCUUUAAAAUUUUACAUGAUCUGAGUUUAAACCGGCGUGAG
rnacentral:rRNA from 1 species